GUAGCACUAAAGUCCAAGUAGCAAUCACACAUUUGAAAUAUGGAAAAUGGGAACAAUGUACUUUGUCUUGCAAUAUCUAAGAACAGUGAGGUCCUAACUACAAUUCCUAUGGUUGUUCUUAGCAGAGACCUCACCAAUCCUUACUGGCCACUGCUAUUCCUUGCCUCACAUGCCUUCAUUUGUUGAUCCACACACUCAGUUAACUGAUGCUUACUGAGCAACUCCUGUGUGCCAUGGUGACUGGCAAAGUUCGUAAAGUCCUCCAUAUUUUUAUGGUUAUAUUUUUCUUGAAUUUAAAAAUAAAUAUGAACACCAAAGAAAAAUAUCAUCCUAAUAUAGCUGCACAUUUGUUUCCUGAGAAUACAGGCAGAAUGUUCCUUCUGACUAGCUCCAGGAAACCAAACAAGAGGUGUUUUAAGAAUACAUUCCCACUGAGGUGAGUUCUGUGAGACAAAGCAAAUAGAGCAUUAAAAAAUUGGAAAGAGUACCAAAUUUCAU
rnacentral:lncRNA from 1 species